CACGUAGGGUGCGAGCGUUGUCCGGAAUUAUUGGGCGUAAAGAGCUCGUAGGCGGUGUGUCGCGUCGGCCGUGAAAACUUUCAGCUUAACUGGGAGCUUGCGGUCGAUACGGGCAUCACUGGAGUUCGGCAGGGGAGACUGGAAUUCCUGGUGUAGCGGUGAAAUGCGCAGAUAUCAGGAGGAACACCGGUGGCGAAGGCGGGUCUCUGGGCAGUAACUGACGCUGAGGAGCGAAAGCGUGGGGAGCGAACAGG
rnacentral:rRNA from 1 species